UACAGAGAGUGCGAACGUUGUUCGGAAUUACUGGGCUUAAAGCGCACGUAGGCGGCGCCGCAAGUGCGGGGUGAAAUCCCACGGCUUACCCGUGGAACUGCCUUGCAGACUGCGGUGCUCGAGGAUGGUAGGGGAGAGCGGAACUCCUGGUGGAGCGGUGAAAUGCGUAGAUAUCAGGAGGAACACCGGUGGCGAAGGCGGCUCUCUGGUCCAUUUCUGACGCUGAGGUGCGAAAGCUAGGGGAGCAAACGGG
rnacentral:rRNA from 1 species